UCAUGAUCCCAGGGUUCUCCUUGUUAGGCUCCCUACUCAACGGGAAGCCUGCUUCUCCCUCUCCCUCUGUCCCUCCCUCCCGCUCGUGCUCUCUCUCUCUCUC